GGCGGGAGGCGGGAACGGGACAGUUGCUUUCUUCAUUGAAUAAUCUAAAUAAUUAAUACGAAGUGGUGUUUUGUGGUUAAUGAUCGCAUUAAGUUAGUCGGAAGACAUUCGCGAGUGUUAUUAUAUUGGAGUAUUCAAUAAACAAAGUGUAUCUGCCUAUUUUCGCUUCGUGUCAGGAAGCCGCUUCAUAACUCAAAAGUUUAUGCGGACUUUUGAGUUAAUUCGUUUGGGGUUCGGAGUAGGAGUCUACUCCGAGGGUGGGGGCUUAGGUUUCAUCAUCAUCACCUUUCAUCAUUUCAUUAAUCAUCAAGGAAAAAAAAUACGUCAGACAUGGCUGUAUGGGCAUAGUUCCCUUUGCCUUACCCUUCGGGGAAAACCCUCAGAACAAUAACUAAAGCAUAGAAGGAAGGCUAAAAUAAGAAUUCAGAAACUAUAAACCGGCUCUCUUCUAGCUUACGACACAAACUAUGAGUGAGAAAAGGACAAAUGAUUCGCUCUUUGCUUCAUUUUUUCCGAGGUUGUCACAACAUGAAAUGUCAUUUGGACCUAUUGGACUCAUUUUAACUCGGCCAAAUACAUAGUAACAUACAUAAGAAGAUUUUACUUAUAUUUACCGAACUAUUUGACACGGUCGCGUCAACUGUGUUUACGAGUGUCUUGUGUUCAGAUUGUUUUAAGUGAUAAUUUAACAAUAUUUUUCCAAAUAAAUGGAAAGAAACUUUUAUUUAUAUCAAAUAAUUGAGUGUCUCGACUGUGUGACAUUAUGUCUUGUGUGGUAUGGGGCUGCAGCUCACAUUCAGAAAGAAAAGAAAAUAGCCAACAACUUCUGUCGUUUCAUCGACAUUAAAUCCAAAAGUGUCGACUGGAUUUACAUGAAAAGUCAGUUCAAGAAGACGAGAUGAAAAAUUUAAAAGAAAAGCUGAACAAGUCCCGCCUCAAGAUCAAACGACUUAAUGAAAAAAAAAAAAACAAUGUGACAGGGUGUCACAAAGACAGUUUCUAAGCAAAUUGACACUGUUUAGAAAUUAAUUAAUUUGUAUUUAUUGUAAAUAUAAUGUACAUAAUUAAUAACGUGUGAAAUAAAUACUUGCUAAUGAAAAUGAACAGAUUUACGAUCUAAUUUAUAUUUAAUUUUACCUCCUGUUCUUAUUUACUCCUACUCCAACACUCCAGGUUGAUACGAACUGCGCCCAAUAAAGAAUGUAAUGAAUGUUAUAGAUUUGUGUAAGCGACUUAGAUAAAUCUUGACUAAACCUUCCUUUACAAAUACAAAUAUACUUUAUUGCACACAACAUACAAUACUUACAAGUUUUACACGAAAGAUACAGUACACCACCUACCUACCUUUUACUUUCCCUUUCUGUUCUCUUAUG